UUUUUUUUUUUUACUUUGCAGACCAGAGUGCUCCCUUGACAUGAGUUUCACCUAACUGUUGUUCUUUCCUUCAAGUGUCAACCAAAAGAGCAAUGAUGAGCUUGGCGUGGGCCAUGGCUGAACCCGACUGGAGACCUCUGCGGCCCUCACACACAGCCACGGGGAGCUCACAGCCAUGAUUCAGUACGGCGCACAGCAGACAGAGAGGAGACACUUACCUGUAUCAUCUACAGAUACCGCUUGAAAAAUCACACGUAAUUAGGCCCUUCUCACAGGGGAAGCUACUCGAAGCUCUAUCACCAGCUGGCAUACAUUUCCCUUGAGCAACGUCAGAUGAGAAAGUGAUUUCAUUUCCAUCACAGGGGAGAAGACAAACAGAAGACCCAGAGGCAGCGACUUGCUUGGAGGCCUCCAAGGUAUGCAGGGCGGAAUGAAAAGGAUACGUGACUUACCCAAGUAAGUGGGGUUCACAUCUAAACUGUCUGGUUUCAGAGCUCACAGUCCUGCCCACCCUGGAAAGACACAGACGUGCUGACAAGGAGCUUACAGAGUAAAAAGGGGUGGCAACCUUAACAAAAAAGACAAAUCAGUCAUUACAAACCAAGGCAGGACCAUGAUUGAAAAGAACAGGAAAAACAAGAGUUAAGAACAAUAAACUGUUUUAGCCAGGCGGCCAGAGAAGUCUUCUCCAGGUAGGUGAAUGUAUGAGGGAUGAAUACUAUCAGACCAAGAAUGGCUGAGACAGAGAAGACUGUGCUAUAGAGAACAGUAGGCAGAACACAGCUUGGUUAUGUUUGAAGGACUGAAAAAUGGCCAGUGCUUCAGAAGGCCAUAAAGGGGAGUGUGUCUCUUCUUGCUCGCUGCCAUAGGACAGGGAUUGGUCAAUAGAUUUUUUUUUUGUAUGGCACCAAGGAGUAACUAUUUUAAGCUUUGUAGGCCAUGCAGCCUCCAUCACAAUUAUGCAACUCUGACGCUGCAGCGUGAAAGCUACUGCAUAUAAGUAAACAGGUGAGCAUGUAUGUUGCAAUAAAAGUGCACAUAGGGACACUGGAAUUUAGAUUUCAGUGUGACAGGAAACGGAUGAGCAUGUAUGUUCCAAUGAAACGGUAUAUACGGACAGCAGAAUUUAGACUUCAGUGAGACAGUUCCACAAAUAGCAAGUAUGUGUGCAAAAACACGUAAGAGUCACAUUUGGUGCAUUUCCAACACAUUAAUCCUUACAUAUAUCCAAGGCACCUUAACCUUAGAGCUCAGUGAAUUCUGUCAGCUGACGGAAUGUAAAAGCAAGAUACAAUUUUGAAUAAAAUUUAGUAACUGGGCUAUUGGUUUUUAAAUCACUCUUAAUCAGGAUUAUCCAGGAAAAAUAGUAUCAAUAGGAUAUGUAUGUAUAUGAAGAGAUUUGUUAGCAGAUAAAUGGCUCACACAAUUACGGAGGCUGGAAAGUUGCAUAAUUUUGCCCGCCAGCUGGCAACCCAGAAGAGGCAGUGGUGUAGAUCCUAGUCUGAGUCUGAAAGCCCAAGAAACAGGAGCACCCAGGGAAGGAGGGCCAAUGUCCCAGCUCAAGCAGCGAGUCUGGAAGGGCCAAACUCUUCCUUCCUCUGCCUUUAUGUUCUGUUCAGGCUCUCAGCAGAGUGGCUAAGCCCACCCACCCUGGGGAGGGCACAGUGCUUUGCCGAGUGCACUGGCUCAAAUGCUAAUUUCAUCUGGACACGCCUUCACAGACAUUUUCAGAAAUAACAUUUAACCAGUAUCUGGGCAACCCGUGAUCCAGUCAAGAUGACACACAAAAUUUUAACCAUUACAGUCUGAUAAAGAGGAACAAAUCAUCACCCAGGAAAAAGAAAUAUUGGCAUUGAUGAAGAUAAUACAAAGGAAUGUUCCAUCUUUACAAAGAGAACAACAACAAAAUAAUGAAUGCAUCAUCAUUCAAAGAGUAUUUCAGAUUGAUCACUGCCCCAGAAAACUAAAAUUGUCUAAAAUCUUAAGAGGUCGCCUAUAAAACACUUGACGGACACUUUCCUAAAGUUGACAUGACAAUCCUAAAAAUUUAUAUCACCUAACCAGUAAUGAGUUAUGAAGCCAAAAUAAAUUUUUCUAAAUUGACAAUAAAUUUUGAUCAAUCCAGAAGGUAGAAAGAUUAAAUCCUCUUUUGAAUAAUUUCUAUAGAAAAUGAUAAUCCAAGACCACUGUAUUAACAGGUAAUCCAAGAGUAUGUAGCCAAAAUAUACAGGAAACACACAUUAUAGGAAAAGUCAGGUAGUUAAUAAAAAAUAAACAUGUUAUUUGGGGGAUUUUGUGAUAUAUAUUUCAGCUUUAAAAAUUGCGUAAUUUGUGGAGUUCCUAUUGUGGCUCAGUGGGUUAAGAACCUGACUAGCAUCCAUGAGGAUGCGGGUUUGAUCCCUGGCCUAUAUCAGUGACUUAAGGAUCUGGUGUUGCUGCAGACUGAGGCACAGGUUGCAGGUGUGGCUGUGGCUGGCAGCUGCAGCUCUGAUUCGACCUCUAGCCCAGGAACUUCCAUCUGUUGCAAGUGUGGCCAUAAAAAGAAAAAAAAUCUUUUAACUUAUUUUUUUUGGUCUUUUUGUCUUUUCUAGGGCCAAGCCCAUGGCAUAUGGAGGUUCCCAGGCUAGGAGUCAAAUCGGAGCUGUAGCUGCCGGCCUAUGCCACAGCAACGUGGGAUCUGAGCUGCGUCUGCGACCUACACCACAGCUUAUGCCAACGCCGGAUCCUUAACCCACUGAGCGAGGCCAGGGACCGAACCCACAACAUCAUGGUUCCUAGUCAGAUUUGUUAAUCACUGAUCCAUGACGGGAACUCCUAUAACUUAUUUUUUAAAAUGUCUACAGUUCUUUUAGCCAUGCCUACAGCAUGCGGAAGUUCCCAGGCCAGGGCUUGAACCCAUGCCAUAGCAGUGACAACACCAGAUUUUUAACCUGUUGUACCACAGGGAACUCAUCUACAUCCUUUUUCUUAAAGCUGCCGACCUGCCUCUGCCUUGGAAGUGCGCUUACGGCCUAUUUCCCCAGGACAGCUAUCCUUUCCUUCCUUUGGACCUGUUCUCAGGCCUUCAGACUUGGGUCCUGGACUGGAACUAACUGGGCUUUCCUGGACCUCCAGUUUGCAGAGGGACUUAACCUCUGAAACCAAAUUGUUUGCAUACACAGUUACUUUUAAAAAUAUACACAGGAGACGGGAUUGAGACAGUGGAGUAGAAGGAGUAAAGCUCGCCUUCUCUCAUGAAAACAACAAAAUUACAACCAACGGCUGAACAACCUUCAACAAAACAGACUGGAAACUAUCAAAAAAGAUAUCCUACUCCAAAAGACAAAUAAGAGGCCACAUUGAGAUGGUAAAAGGGGUGAUUAUGUGAUAUAAGCAACUCCAUACCCACUGGGGGGAUAGCCCACAGACUGGAAAGUUAACUGUAUCACAGGGGCUCACCCACGGGAGUAAGGGUUCUGCGCCCCAUGUCAGGUUCCCAUGCUUGGGGAUCUGGCAUUGGGAGAGGGAGCCCCGGGAGCAUUUGGCAUUGAAGGCCAGUGGGGCUUACACACAGGAGCUUCACAGAACUGGGGGAAAUGGAGACUCCACUCUUGAAAGGCGCACACAGGCUUUUGUGUGUUUGGGUCCAAGGACAAAGCAGAGACUCCAUAGGAAUCUAGGUCAGACUUGCCUGUGGUUCUUGGAGGAUCUCCUGGGAAAACAGUGGGUGACUGUGGCUCGUUGUUGGGCAAGGAUACUGGAGGCAAAUGUCUCAGAAAUAAUCAUCAGCAUGAAUUCCUCUAGAGGUGGCUGUUUUGCAAAAAUUUAGCACCAGGCCAGAGAACAAACCCAGUGGGAACACAGCCCCACCCAUCAGCAAACAGGCUACCUAAAGGCCCGCCCCCACCCAGGCACAUAGACUCCUCUAAUCACACCCACAGACAAAGCCCCACCCACCAGAAGGACAAGACUCAGCUCCACCCACUAGGGGGCAGGCACCAGUCCCUCCCAUCAGGAAGUAGGCAGCAUGCCCCCAUACCAACUUCAGCCACCCUCAAGGGGGGCAGACAUCAGAAGCAAGAGACUACAACCCUAUUACCACACUAAAAAUCUAUACAAAAUGAAAAAGGCAUAGAAUUAGGACUCAGAUAAAG
rnacentral:lncRNA from 1 species